AUGGAGUCCAAUGAGAGGCCAAUCCCACAACCAUGAGAUCAUGACCUGAGCUGAAAUCAAGGGUUGGCAGCUCAACGGACUAAGCCAUCAAGCACCCCUAGAAUUAUUCUUUAUCUUUAAAAUUUUAUUUU